rnacentral:rRNA from 1 species
GUGUUGUGAUAAUUCUCUUCGCUGGCGAGAUUGACGGCGACCAGCGCUUUGCCGCCUUCCGGCCACGGCUGGUCUUUGACCAUCCACACCGGGCAAGGAGUUCGGGUUGUCAUGCCAAUGGCACUGCCCGGUAGCUAAAUGCGGAAGAGAUAAGUGCUGAAAGCAUCUAAGCACGAAACUUGCCCCGAGAUGAGUUCUCCCUGAGACUUUAAGUCUCCUGAAGGAACGUUAAAGACGAUGACGUUGAUAGGCCGGGUGUGUAAGCGCAGCGAUGCGUUGAGCUAACCGGUACUAAUGAACCGUGAGUUCUAUCGUA